CCUACGGGUGGCAGCAGUGGGGAAUAUUGCACAAUGGGCGAAAGCCUGAUGCAGCAACGCCGCGUGAACGAAGAAGGCUCUUGGGUCGUAAAGUUCUUUUCUUAGGGAAGAAGAAAGUGACGGUACCCCAGGAGAAAGCCCCGGCUAACUACGUGCCAGCAGCCGCGGUAAUACGUAGGGGGCAAGCGUUGUGCGGAAUUAUUGGGCGUAAAGAGUGCGUAGGCGGUAUGUUAAGCGAAAGGUGAAAUGCAUAGGUUAAACCAAGGGGAGCCUUGCUAACUGGCAGACUUGAGUGCAGGAGAGGAAAGUGGAAUUCCUAGUGUAGCGGUGAAAUGCGUAGAUAUUAGGAGGAACACCAGUGGCGAAGGCGACUUUCUGGACUGAAACUGACGCUGAGGUACGAAAGCGUGGGGAGCAAACAGGAUUAGAUACCCCAGUAGUC
rnacentral:rRNA from 1 species